AUCAAAGGCCUCCGUGCUCACAUGCUCCACCAACUCGACCAACCCAUGAGGGGCAAUGGUUUAUUAUCUUUGUUUUGCUUCCAAUUACUUCAUGUAUAGUGUAAUGCAUCAACGCUCUAGAAUUAUUGAAGUUUCGUAAAGCUGGUAUUGAAGUUGUUGUGAAGGUAAAUUCUCAAGACUUUUUAAUGUCCUAAUAGAUUAUUACAAGAUGAAGCAAGUUUAGCAAUCCGAACGAGUGUACGAUAUUAAUGAUUGAUUUAAGGAUAAUUGAUUUAUCAUAUUUAAACACUUUCAUAGUUAGGUAGGCUGAUUAGUUCUCUCCUAAUUUAGGAGAUUGUUUUCCCUUUUUUUUUUCCUUUUCCCUUCACCCAGAUGUGCAUAAAUACAGAAAGCGAAACGUAAAGAGUCAUCAAUUCAGAUAGAAAUUCCUGUCUCAUAAUCUCAUUUGUCUACAUGGUAUUUGAGGACCAGGUUGGUUUACAAAUGUACAUAUUCAGCGCAGAUAUGCACGUGCACAUACAUCUGCUGAAACUUGAGAAUUGAGAUAUGGUUUUUUACUUUCGACUUCUAGAGAUACGAUCGCAUCAAUGUUGAUAUUGACCUUUUAGGAAUUUCUUGUUUUGGUGCCUGAUUUGGGUUCCAAUUGGGAGCUUAUAAGUGAUGUAAUUAACAGUACUUUGCAAUCUAAGCUCAAAAGAAAAGGUUGGGACUAUUGGAGGAGGAUGAAUUGAAAGACGAGAGUUCUGUUGGAAAGGAGAGAAUCGUGAGAAAUCCAUCGAGUUUGCUAAGAAACAGGACCACUCAGAGAGAGCUUCUUAUAAGGAGUUGAUCAAAAUCAUUGAAGCUUCUACUGUCAUUUUGGAGGUGCUUGAUGCUCGGGAUCCCCGUGGUAGUCACUGUGUUGACAUGGAAAACAUGGCCAUGAAAGCAGGACCUGAAAAACAUCUUCUUCUUCUUUUAUUUAUUUAUUUAUUUAUUUUUAUUUUUAUUUUUUGCUUCUCAAUAAAAUUGGAUUGAUGAUUCCAUCUCCUUUCUUCUGAUUUCAUAUCCCUUUUUUUUUUUUUUUUUAAGGUUAAUAUUUUGCUGAACACAACAAAAUGUUAUUGGUGGAGAUUAUGUUGUAAUAACUUAAGAAGUAAUAGCAAAAAAUGGUGAUCCAACAAAUGCAUUACACACUUCAUUGAUUGUUGCUUUUUCCCUACCAUAAAUGGGUGGAGAACUUCCUCAGAGAAAAGUAUCCCAACAUGGCUGAAGCUUUUGUCACCGAGUAUUAUAGAAGGCAGCAAGCUCUUACUAGCUGGAAUAAGGAUUGUGGUUCUGCCUUAAGUGAAAGUAAAACUCUUGGCUAGAG